GCAUCCAGAUAGGGGGAUGUCUGAAUUUAAGACACCCCUAUAUCCGGAUGCCAUAUAUACGAGUGUCUGAAUUUCAGACACCCCUAUAUUUUGUAUCCAGAUAUAGUUGUCUGAAUUUCAGACACCCCUAAAUUUUGUAUCCAGGUAUAGGAAUGUCUGAAUUUCAGACGCCCCUAUAUCUGGAUGC